AUCAAACAAGGGAAAUUUAGGGACAGCGGGUUUAUUCCAAUGAACAAACCAGAGCAAGAAGCACAGUCGGAAUGCACAGCAAUGUGUCAUCCGCAGGGUCUGAGGACAUUAGGGUUCCCCAGCUCCAUGCCUUGGUUUCACCGUUGUAAAAGGGCAGUGCAGCUUUGUAUCUCGGCCUUCCUGGGCCGUUCUGUGCUCGGUGCCCGUGUGGAGCCCCGCAGGCCCGCACCAUUUCUAUGCACAGUGAGGGCAGCAGGAAGGCAGCUCCACUCCUUUAACGGGAGUAGGGAGAAGGGAGGGGGGCUGGGAGCGCCGGGGCCGUGCGGCACCGCCUCCUCCUCCUCCUCCUUCCCCGCCCGCUCCCUUCCUGCCAGCCAGCGCCGCGCAGCCACCAGCCCGGCUUCUCCACUCCGGCCCCGCAGCGCGCUUGGAAUUUGAGCCUUCUUUGUGACCAGAGUGAGCAGCAUCACGGCUCCAAGUGCUGCAGAGCCUGUUUGAUCCAAGCAGAGCUCCCAGAGCCCAGCCAGGUAGGUGUGGGUGGCUCAGAAGAAGAAAUACACUCUUGCCAGUACAGUUUAGUGCUGUGUCAGAAGAGGAUUAAAGUGCAUGGGUGUUAGAUUGCCUGAUAGCCUCCCAGCUGAGAGCUGCAUGGUUUUGGCAGAAGCGAGCUGGGCACGAUGAUGUUUGCAUUGUGUCAGCAGAUGGAGGAGGGGAUGAGGAGGGUGCAAUGAGAGCACAGCCGGGUACCAACCUGCAGCUGCAGGGCUGUGAGCAGCAGGGCUGAGUGAGACGAUGGGUGUUUAUACAACAGACUGGGCAGAUGUCAGAAGGCCUUUGUUGAGGUGCAUAGUAGCUUAAAAUUUGUCUAAAUGGCUUUUGUGUGUAGUAAACCUGAGCUGUUCUGGACUGUUGCAUCAGCUUGGCUUGUACAAACCUCUGUUAACUUCUCCAACAGCUGAUGAAAAUAGCAGAACAGACAGGGCCUGCCUCUUCCCAUCCAGGUGCAGGGCACACAGCUUUCAGGUGCUGACCUAAGGUGCCUUAAAUCUGUGCCUGGUUCAUCUUGCUAGAGACCUUACGAUGCUCAGGAGCUGCUCUUCAGGCUGAUAAAGUAAACUUGGCUUUGGCCAUUAAUCUGGUAGCUCUGUCUCUUAUUUUUAGUAGGUAAUCCUACUCUGAUAUGGCUGAGAAAGAGAAGGUAAUAUGGCAUGAGAGAGAAUGUAAACCCAGGUUUGUGUUGCUUGUAGAGCCAAAGCUAAGGCUUAACUCGAGGUUGGGUUUAUUGUGCUAAAACAGGCUGCCCAGAAAGCUGUUGGUGCCUAUCUCUGGAAGUGCCCAAGACUGGAAGACAGCAAGUGAGAGAUACAGCUGGGGAUAUUUUGACUCCUUGGAGCUUCUGUGGUAGUGACCUUGGCUGUAUUGCUGCCCAGCUUGGGAUGCCAGCAGAGCCUCAAACUGACAUUAAUGUUGUAUGUUAGGAGAUGGAAUUUCAAGGGAAGGCAUGCAGCCUGGUGGGGCUGAGAAUGUGUUCUCCCCAUCCUGGUGCCACCCCUACCAUUAUCCCAAAUAACAUCCCUUUGUGAAAGUUGCAAGAAAACCUUUCUUUCUUAUGAUUUUUCAGCCCUGAGUGAUAACGCUGUACUAGAAGGCUUCACCAGAGGGGUCUAGGUGGGUCUGGGGAUGCUGGGACAGGAGGAUUGCUAUCUCUGUGUCGAUGUGAGGUUGCUCUCUCUGCUUUAGCUGAAGUUAGUUCCAAGCUUGGGAUGUAUCUCAUCAGCUGCAGGGCUGCUGCAGCAUUUUUUUCCCCCAAGGUGUUGAUUUUAAAGCUAUAUUUAAAAAGGGUGGGAAGCAAAUAAAAAGGCUUCAGUUGAAGCAAAAUGACUCUUUUCUGGAAUUUAAUAAAUGGCGUGUUUCUGUUAACUAACAUCAAGCAGCUGAGAGCAGGCAGAGCCCAACAGAUGGUACAAACAGCGGCACGUUUGGAAUGGAAAAUAUUUACCUAGAGGGUAUUUGAAUCGCUGAGAUCGUGCUCUGCAAAUGGCUUAAUUGUAUCAGUGUAAUCAAGCGAAGAAGGGAAAGAUUUAUUGACAAGUCUUCUGCCUCUCGCUGUUAACAGUUGGGAGGGGGUUUUGAGCACUGUUGAGCUGCACUUGAAUAGAUCUCCUUUCCAGGUAGGAGUUACUUUAAUACUCGAAUGGCUCGGUGUGUAAAUACUGGUGGCUAAAGCUUUCCUCUGGCUGUAGGAGUCAAGCUGUCAGGGCUGUAAUUUAAAUGAAACCCUCCGAAUUUGCACGGCUGUUUGUUGUGCUUUGCACCAGCUCUGGGUUUUGAGAGGACUUCUGCCAACAGGCUGUCAAGUGUAGCUCUGGAUGCAGGGUUUAAUAUGAAGAAAGUGGAUUGGACUUUGCCAUCUGGAUCAAAGCUGCAGGUCAGUUUAGAUCUAUGAGUUUUCUGGGUUAUGGCUGCUUUUAUUUUGCAUGCCUUUCAACUGUGCAGCUUAAAAGGCAACCUGGAAGAAGGUGGUGUGAGCUUACAGGGAGCUGUGCCUUUCACACAGGUGGCAGGUGAGAUAUAUAUGUAUGUAGCACCUUAUUUUUCUGCCUUUAAAAUGAUGUUCGGGUAUGGUCUAUUCCUCACUCUAUUCCUAUGCUCCGUUCCUCAGUCUGCUCCUUUGCAGAGCAGAGUGGUUUUGGGAGCAUAUAACCCUGGAAUGGGAAGGUGGAGGACAUGGCACUGCAAGGGCUCGUUACCUGCUGAAAUUAGUCGGGUGUUAACGAGCUUGGGGCAAGUUUGAUGGGCUGAAAUCCCUGCCUGCUGUGAUGGCCUGGCUUUCACUGCUGCCUGUAGUGUCACGUUUCAGGAGCUCUGCUGGCUUCAAUGUCAUGUAUUUGGUGCACAGAACAAGUUGGUUUUCCUGUGAUGUUACAUGAUUGCUGUAAAUAAAUAAAAAGCAAACACCCACCUUGCCAAAAGAAACCCUUAUGUUCCAACUCUGCAACUCAGCAGCAAUGCUGAUGUGAAAUGAAUCAUCCCUGGGGUUUCAGGCAGCU